AUGAAUUUUUAAGAAUGCCAUUUGGGCUAUCCAACGCUCCCGCAACAUUUCAAAGAUUGUUAAAUACAUUGUUUUCCAAAUUAUGUCACGAUAAGGAAACCAUAUAAAUCACAGGGACGAUGCGGCCAAGGGCGAAAGAAGACGAGGUCGUCCAAGUAGUCAGGAUCGCCAAAUGUUGCAUCAACCCAUUACGUAGUAUAGUUCAUAUUCUAUUAUUGUUCUUUGCACGUUCAGAUAUUGUUUUUGUAGGUUUAAUUUCUUUGUAAAGUAAAAAGUAUUUUAUGUAAUUCAUACGUUUGAUAUUUGUCCGUUAAUUUAUCAGGAGAGCAUUAUAUUUUCUCUCGCGAUACAAGCAAGACAUGUUUUGUAAAUAAAUUGUAGUCAUAUGAAAA